UCUGCUCUGUUCUGGAAUGGGUACCCAUCACUUCUGGCUCGGUUCAUCGCGCACAACCAGUCAUAUGGCUGUGCUCAACAGCAACGGAGUGGGGGAAAUACUGGCCCUGUGAAGCAGUGAGCACUUAUUAUGGUACCUUCAUUUUCCAGAUGAAGAAACACGGCACCAAAAGGGUCCAUUUUGAGUAGCACUGUGCAGGAUAUGGCUACAGUGAUUGGACCCGUGUAGACUUCAGGUAGCUCUUUGAUUGUGAUUUCGGGCUCUCAAACUAGAAAUGCU